rnacentral:lncRNA from 1 species
GUUUGCUGUUGGCCAAAACCAGGCUUUGAUUGGACCAGGAUGAAUCUGGGUGUGGGAAAUAGAAUAUAUAUGUAAUUGG